AUUUUUUUUUUUUUUUAUGUCCUACUUGCUCCAUGUGAGUGAUCUCUGAUUCGACGUCUCCUCAUCUGAUCUCUUCUUCUACCACUGCUGCUCCUGCUGCUGCCAUUUUCUCAUUUAAGUCUUCUACUUUCCCUUUGCUAUAAACAAGUAUAAAAACCAUCUCUCUCUGUCUCUUUUUCUAUGAGUUUUGGAUCCAACGUGUCCAAGCUCUGGAUCUUCUUUGAAGCCCCAUUGGAUCUUUCAAGACUGAUACACCUACAGUUCACAGCAUGGCUCCACUCUUGUACUUGAGAUUCAAGAAGGUACUUCUGCUUUAUCUCGUUUUCUUCCUGUUUGUUUCUGUUCUUCUUUGUGCCUCCUCAGAUUGUUCUCAGCUAGAAAGGAAAGGGUUUAUUGGUAGAAGAAGAAUGUUAGAGGUGGAAAAAGAUCAAGACCAGCUGCCUAAGAAAAAAAGUACCAAUUCUUCUACCAAGAACCAAACCAAGCUAAUCAAACCCAAUCUUUCCUCUUCAAAAAACCAAACUAAGCUCUCUAAGACUAGCUUAUCUACUAAGAACCAAACCAAGAUUACAAAAUCUACAAAUUCAACUAAAGCAGCUUUUUACUCCUUAUCCAAGGCUGAGCUUAAAAAGCUCAAUUCCACUUCCCAGCUUAAGAAGCUCAAUUCCACGUCAAAAGCUUACAACUCUACCAAAACCAGCUCCGGCUCUACUAAAAAAACCUCAGAUCUACUCAAAUUAGGCUCCCCCAAGAACAAAACAUCCAAACCCACUUCAACAAAAGGAUCCCAAAUUCUUGUGAGUGAUUCUGAAUCCCAAAAACAAACCAAGAGCCCAUUAAAAACCGCAGAGAAAAAACCCAAUAACGAGAAGAAGACCACCACCCAGCAGGCACAAAAACAACCCAGUUGGGUUGAUCAAGAAGGGGAGGAUGAUUUGGUCGCUGAGUUCAGAGCUCUACCAUCCAAAUUUCAACAAUCUCUCAUGCCAGACAUUGAGAAGAUCUCAAUAACCUCCAAAAAAUACCUCACAAAAGCCAACAAAGAAAUGGCCAAAGGGUUCAAGCCCAUAGUUGGAAACAGAUAUGCAUCCACCAUUGCCACUGUAGUCUGUUUCGCUUUCAUUUUAAUACCUCUCCUUCUAGUUUCUUUAAUCGUCAGCCGCAUCAAAGCUUAUUUCUCUAUUCAAAAGAUCGUCAUCUUCAUUCAAGUUUAUCUCUCAAUUUACUUCUUCAUUCUUUGUCUCUCUUCUCUAGUUACUGGGGUGGAGCCUUUGAGGUUUUUCUACGCUACUUCGCAACCCAUGUACGUCUGUUUAAUGGUUCUGCAAACCCUUGGCUACGUGUUGUAUCUGUUGUUGCUGUUAAUGUACUUGAUUCUGGUGUUUUCCACUGAAUCUGGGCUGGGCUCAAAGUUUCUAGGCCUGGGCCAGACCUUCGUGGGCUUCGCUGUCGGGCUACAUUUCUACGUAGCGGUUUCCCACAGGGUGGUCAUGCACCAGCCACCCAAGACUACGUGGAAGGUUCAUGGGAUUUAUGCCACGUGUUUUCUUGUGAUUUGUCUGUUUGCUAAAUUUGAUAGGACAAAGAAGGCUUACUUGCAAGAUGGCGAUGAAGAGGGCAAGAAGAAUUAGUUCAUAAUAAAUUUUUUUUUCCUUUUUUAAAGAAAUGUAAUAAAUCCACUUUUUGUACUUUAUUUAUUUAUUAUUAAUCUUUGGGGUUGUUACGAACAAUGGUGUUAUUCUAGAGUAGAAAAUUUUUUCAAGUGUUUUAAACCUUAUCUAAUCUUUAUUUAUCAUAAGAUUUUUAUAUAUAUAUAAAAGAAAAAAAGAAAAUUGCCCCUCCG
rnacentral:misc_RNA from 1 species